UACGUAGGGCGCAAGCGUUGUCCGGAAUUAUUGGGCGUAAAGAGCUCGUAGGCGGCUUGUCACGUCGGGUGUGAAAGCCCGGGGCUUAACCCCGGGUCUGCAUUCGAUACGGGCUGGCUAGAGUGUGGUAGGGGAGAUCGGAAUUCCUGGUGUAGCGGUGAAAUGCGCAGAUAUCAGGAAGAACACCAAUGGCGAAAGCAGCUCUCUGGGACGGUACUGACGCUGAGACGCGAAAGCGUGGGGAGCGAACAGG
rnacentral:rRNA from 1 species